GUUUCUUUGGAGACAUCAAAAAAUUUGGAACGACAUAGAGAAGAUUAGUGUGAUCCUUGCUUAAGGAUGAUAGACAGAAAUCGAGAAACGGAGCAAAACAUG